CUCGACUCGCAGUUCCUAUACCCUUUGCCUACCCCUAAUGUGUUGCCUCCUUUACCCACCCCUAUACUGUAGAUUUUUUUUUAAACCAAUGAUAUUAUCUACACUAAGGAAAUGGGGAAAGGUCUAACCUCACAAUGGGUUAGUAAUAAAGUGGUUCAAAUUUGCCUUUGGCGAGAAUCAAACAUAAGACCUCACUUAUAAGUGAAGAGGAAUACCAUCAGACCGUAGUACUAAGUGGCUUAUACUAUACAGUUAAAAAUACAAAAACAAUAAAUAGCAAACUAGUCACUCACUCUUAUUAAAAAAAGAAAAUUGGAGAAAUGAUCCCUCAACUUUGAUUGAAUUGUAGCUUGGUCCUUGAACUAAAAAUCCAUUAGAUUUAGUCCUUCAACUUGACAAAAUGUGGAGCAUUAGUCCUUUGGUACUAACACCAUGAGAUUUUCUGUUACUAUGAUGAUGUGGUCUCUGUGGGCUCUACAUUUUUGUUGAUGUGGAUGUCAUGUGGCCUAAAAAAUCUAUAAAAAAAUACAAACAUAGAGAAAGGAAAAAGAAAAUACAUAAAAUAAAAAAGGUUGAAUUCUCUCUCUCCCAUAUUCCCCUUCCGCCCACCUCAUUCUCCAAACCCAGCCUUCAUUAUAGUACUCUCCCAACAACCAAACCAAAGAAAGUUUCACAUCUAAAUUUGGAACACAAUCUUCCUUU
rnacentral:lncRNA from 1 species